rnacentral:lncRNA from 1 species
UUGCUAAAAUCAUCAUUGAGGUUUGAGAGUUGCCAAAAUCUUCCAUGACUUAACAAUACAUUUUAACUGAGUUAGUGAUUGGAUGGAAAUAACAAUAAAAAUGAAACCUCAGUGACCUCGAGACAAAAGGUUUCAUUUUUAGACUGAAACUAGAAAUGUAACCCGCCGCGAUGCGGCGGGGGCUAAAUUUAUAUUGAUAUUCAGUCGGUUCUCACUGAGUCGCAUCGAUGUAAUUAAUUACAUAAGCUGGAGCAAAACUGAUGCCAGGCACUUUGCCGGUCUAAGGAGAGCUCUUGCCAUGUAUCCCCUUCAAGAUGUUUGUAAGCAUCCUCUCCCACAACUGCUAUAAAAACUUGUUAGUACCUAGCCGCCAACCAUUGGUACCAAUAUUCUGACUGAUAUUUGACACCGAUAUUUCACAUGGGAACCGAUAACCGAUAUAUCACCGAAUUAAUUGCAUAGUGAAGAGCUUGUUUUACGUUUUUGAGAAUUGCUUGGACUUUGGAAGGUUUAGAGACGGCUUUCUCAGCUUCAGCUUGCCCAUAGCGAUUAGCGAGUGUUAGCGUCAAAGGAGAUGCA